AGAAGGUUUUGCUGCAGCAUUAGAGAAAGAAAGAAAAAAAACACUUUUAAGAGUCUCCUCUCUGCUGGGGUUUCCAAUCCCCUUGAUGCCAAUUGAUGAGCCGCCUCAGUGGUUCGCCGCACCACCACUAUGGCUGAUGGCCGACGACAAACGACCACGGGGAGAUGUCAGGCGGCGCGAUAGUUGCGUGCAGCGACGCGAAGGGCAUACGAGGCGACCGCGUGUGGUGCCGGGACUGGGGCAGAGGCGCAUGCGGCGCCCUAGGGCUUCCCUCUUUGCUGAAAAACUUUUGUUUGUGGGCUAGGGUUUUUUAAUUUUCUUUUGGGCCUAUUGGGUUUAGGCUUGUAGUUCUGAUUGGACUGUAAUUUUUUUACUUAUUUUUGGGUUGGUUGGUUUUGCUAGUGGGCCGGGCAGAAAAUGGGUCUGACAGUUGUGUUUUGUUUUGGCUGCAUGAAAUUUUGACUGCAUGGCAUUUCAUCAUAGAAAAGAGGCGUUGAUUCACGUGUGGUUGCUAAAUAGAGAGCUUGUCAUGGAAAAUGAAUUUCUUGAUAAAGUGGAAGUGAAUACGGUUGUCCGAAUAUAGUUCAAGAAAACAUGAAGCGAGAAGUGUAACAAGAGGAGUAUACGACCUUGUUGCGUUGCUUCAAGAUUCAAGUUAGCAAAGAUUAUUCAAGAGUCGUCAAACAUCCCAACCCUUUUAAAGAAGCUCAUGAGCAUGAGUGAGUAAGGAGUUGCGACCUGGAAGAGCUAGUAGAUGUCUAUUGGAAAAUUCGCGUGAUACAUCUUAAUAUCCGGAUGAUCGAGGGCGAAGCUGUAUAUGUAUCUGCUUUAUGUAAAGAGAUCUGUUUUCUAGUAAAGUUCUAGUAAAGAAUUGAACCUGAA